rnacentral:rRNA from 1 species
ACGGCUCAGUAACACGUGGACAACCUACCCUGAGGUCGGGGAUAAACCCGGGAAACUGGGUAUAAUACCCGAUAGAUCUAGAUCGCUGGAAUGCUUUUAGGUCUAAAGUUCCGACGCCUCAGGAUGGGUCUGCGGCCUAUCAGGGUAGUAGUGGGUGUAAAGCACCUACUAGCCCACGACGGGUACGGGUUGUGAGAGCAAGAGCCCGGAGAUGGAUUCUGAGACACGAAUCCAGGCCCUACGGGGUGCAGCAGGCGCGAAACCUUUACAAUGCUGGCAACAGCGAUAAGGGGACCUCGAGUGCUACGAUACAAUCGUGGCUGUCUAGUUGCCUAAAAAGCAAUUGAUAGCAAGGGCCGGGCAAGACCGGUGCCAGCCGCCGCGGUAACACCGGCGGCUCGAGUGGUAACCGCUAUUAUUGGGUCUAAAGGGUCUGUAGCCGGCUUAGUUAGUCUCUUGAGAAAUCUGGCCGCUCAACGGUCAGGCGUUCAGGGGAUACUGCUAAAGCUCGAGACCGGGAGAGGUGAGAGGUACUUCAGGGGUAGGGGUGAAAUCUUGUAAUCCUUGAAGGACCACCAGUGGCGAAGGCGUCUCACCAGAACGGAUCUGACGGCAAGGGACGAAAGCUAGGGGCACGAACCGGAUUAGAUACCCGGGUAGUCCUAGCCGUAAACGAUGCUCGCUAGGUGUCGGCCACGGUGCGACCGUGGUCGGUGCCGUAGGGAAGCCGUGAAGCGAGCCACCUGGGAAGUACGGCCGCAAGGCUGAAACUUAAAGGAAUUGGCGGGGGAGCAC